ACGGUCCUAAGGUAGCGAAAUUCCUUGUCGGGUAAGUUCCGACCUGCACGAAUGGCAUAAUGAUGGCCAGGCUGUCUCCACCCGAGACUCAGUGAAAUUGAAAUCGCCGUGAAGAUGCGGUGUACCCGCGGCUAGACGGAAAGACCCCGUGAACCUUUACUAUAGCUUGACACUGAACAUUGAAUUUUGAUGUGUAGGAUAGGUGGGAGACUUUGAAGUAGUCACGCCAGUGAUUAUGGAGUCGUCCUUGAAAUACCACCCUUUAACGUUUGAUGUUCUAACGAAGAUUACGAAACGUGGUCUCGGACAGUGUCUGGUGGGUAGUUUGACUGGGGCGGUCUCCUCCCAAAGAGUAACGGAGGAGCACGAAGGUUUGCUAAUGACGGUCGGACAUCGUCAGGUUAGUGCAAUGGUAUAAGCAAGCUUAACUGCGAGACAGACAAGUCGAGCAGGUACGAAAGUAGGUCUUAGUGAUCCGGUGGUUCUGAAUGGAAGGGCCAUCGCUCAACGGAUAAAAGGUACUCCGGGGAUAACAGGCUGAUACCGCCCAAGAGUUCAUAUCGACGGCGGUGUUUGGCACCUCGAUGUCGGCUCAUCACAUCCUGGGGCUGAAGUAGGUCCCAAGGGUAUGGCUGUUCGCCAUUUAAAGUGGUACGCGAGCUGGGUUUAGAACGUCGUGAGACAGUUCGGUCCCUAUCUGCCGUGGGCGUUGGAGAAUUGAUUGGGGCUGCUCCUAGUACGAGAGGACCGGAGUGGACGCACCACUGGUGUUCCGGUUGUGUCGCCAGACGCAUUGCCGGGUAGCUAAGUGCGGAAGAGAUAAGUGCUGAAAGCAUCUAAGCACGAAACUUGCCAAGAGAUGAGUUCUCCCAGAUUACAAAUCUGUAAGGGUUGUUUAAGACUAAGACGUAGAUAGGUCUGGUGUGUAAGCGGUGCGAGCCGUUGAGCUAACAGAUACUAAUUGCCCGAGAGGCUUAACUAU
rnacentral:rRNA from 1 species